GGAUAGCUCAACUGGUUAUAGCAUGGUGCCGAUAAUGCCAAGGUCACAGGUUCGAUCCCCGUAUGGGACA
rnacentral:tRNA from 1 species